UGGGGAAUAUUGCACAAUGGGCGCAAGCCUGAUGCAGCCAUGCCGCGUGUAUGAAGAAGGCCUUCGGGUUGUAAAGUACUUUCAGUCGGGAGGAAGGUGUCAAGGUUAAUAACCUUGGCAAUUGACGUUACCGACAGAAGAAGCACCGGCUAACUCCGUGCCAGCAGCCGCGGUAAUACGGAGGGUGCAAGCGUUAAUCGGAAUUACUGGGCGUAAAGCGCACGCAGGCGGUUGAUUGAGUCAGAUGUGAAAUCCCCGGGCUUAACCCGGGAAUUGCAUCUGAUACUGGUCAGCUAGAGUCUUGUAGAGGGGGGUAGAAUUCCAUGUGUAGCGGUGAAAUGCGUAGAGAUGUUGAGGAAUACCGGUGGCGAAGGCGGCCCCCUGGACAAAGACUGACGCUCAGGUGCGAAAGCGUGGGGAGCAAACAGG
rnacentral:rRNA from 1 species